rnacentral:rRNA from 1 species
UACGAAGGGUGCAAACGUUGCUCGGAAUUAUUGGGCGUAAAGCGCACGUAGGCGGCUUGGCAAGUCGGAUGUGAAAGCCCUCGGCUCAACCAAGGAAGUGCAUCCGAAACUGCUGAGCUUGAGUACUUAAGAGGAUCGCGGAAUUCCCGGUGUAGAGGUGAAAUUCGUAGAUAUCUGGAGGAAUACCGGUGGCGAAGGCGGCAUCCUGGACCGACAUUGACGCUGAGGAGCGAAAGCUAGGGGAGCAAACGGG